CGGCUGUCACCGGCUGCGCCGCCUCUGGUCCCUUUCGGCCGCCGUACGCGCGCAGGCGCGUCGGCGCCGCGUCGCCUCGGCUUCCCUUAGUCCCGUGAACCGCUCCUGAGGUGACCAACGGUGACCGCGAGUGCAGGUCAGAGAAACAUGGCAGCAAGGAGAAUCACACAGGAGACUUUUGAUGCUGUAUUGCAAGAAAAGGCUAACCGAUAUCAUAUGGACCCCAGUGGUGAGGCUGUAGGUGAAGCUCUUCAGUUUAAAGCUCAAGAGCUUCUAAGGACAGUCCCAAGAGCCAGAGCAGAUAUGUAUGAUGACAUUCACAGUGACAGCAGAUAUACUCUGGGGGGAUCUGUAGCUCAUCCUCGAGACACUGGGAGAGAAGGCCUGAGAGGUGAUGUAUUUCCAGGACCUUCCUUCAGAUCAAGCAACUCUUCAGUAAGUGAUGACAGCUAUUUUCGCAAAGAAUGUGGCCGGGAGCUGGAAUUUUCCCACCCUGAUUCCCGAGACCAGGUCUUUGGCCACCGGAAAUUGGGACAUUUCCGUUCUCAGGACUGGAAGUUUGCACUCCGUGGCUCUUGGGAACAAGACUUUGGCCACGCAGUUUCUCAAGAAUCCUCUUGGUCGCAGGAGUAUAGUUUUGGUCCUUCUGCAUUACUGGGGGACUUUGGUUCCUCCAGGCUGAUUGAGAAAGAGUGUUUGGAGAAAGAGAGUCGGGAUUAUGACGUGGACCGUCCAGGGGAGGCAGACUCUGUGCUCAGGGCCGGUGGCCAAGUCCAGGGCAGAGGCCGAGGUCUAAACAUUGUUGACCAGGAAGGUGCCCUCCUAGGAAAAGGGGAGACCCAAGGCCUGCUCACACCUAAAGCGGGGGUCGGGAAACUUGUCACGCUGAGAAAUGUGAGCACCAAAAAGGUACCCACUAUAAGUCGUAUCACUCCCAAAACUCAGGGCACUAACCAAAUCCAGAAAACCACCCCAAGUCCUGAUGUGACCCUGGGGACAAACCCAGCGACAGGAGAUAUCCAAUUCCCCACUCAGAAAAUCCCUUUGGGGCUUAAUCUGAAGGAUAUUCGGCUCCCCAGAAGAAAGAUGAGCUUCGACCUCAUAGAUAAGUCUGAUGUUUUUUCGAGAUUUGGGAUAGAAAUAAUCAAAUGGGCAGGAUUCCACACCAUAAAAGAUGAUGUUAAAUUUUCCCAGCUUUUCCAGACUCUCUUUGAACUUGAAACCGAAACCUGUGCUAAAAUGCUUGCCUCAUUCAAAUGUUCUUUAAAACCAGAGCACAGAGAUUUUUGCUUUUUUACUAUCAAAUUUUUAAAGCACUCUGCUUUGAAAACUCCCAGAGUUGAUAACGAGUUUUUAAACAUGCUUUUAGACAAAGGUGCUGUGAAGACCAAAAAUUGCUUUUUUGAAAUCAUAAAGCCCUUUGAUAAAUACAUAAUGAGGCUUCAAGACCGGCUUCUGAAGAGUGUCACACCACUGCUCAUGGCCUGCAAUGCCUACGAGCUGAGUGUCAAGAUGAAGACCCUCAGUAACCCUCUGGACUUGGCUGUUGCCCUGGAGACCACCAAUUCUCUCUGCCGGAAGUCUUUAGCCCUUUUGGGACAGACGUUCUCCUUGGCCUCUUCUUUCCGGCAAGAGAAAAUCUUAGAAGCUGUCGGCCUCCAAGAUAUAGCUCCCUCUCCUGCCUCAUUUCCAAACUUCGAGGACUCUACUCUGUUUGGAAGAGAGUACAUUGAUCACCUGAAGGCCUGGCUGGUCAGCAGUGGGUGUCCACUCCAGGUUAAGAAAGCCGAAACCGAGCCAACUCGAGAUGAGGAGAAAACGGUUCCUCCUGCCAAACCCGAAAUUCAGGCCAAGGCUCUGGGUGGUCUGAGUGAUGUGGUCCCCCAGCGAGCAGAUCACAAGGUGGUGGACACCAUUGACCAGCUGGUCACACGAGUCGUUGGAGGCAGCCUGUCUCCCAAAGAGAGAGCUCUUCUUAAGGAGGACCCUGCUUACUGGUUUUUGUCUGAUGAUAAUAGUCUGGAGUAUAAAUAUUACAAGCUGAAGCUGGCAGAAAUGCAGCGGAUGAGCCAGACUUUGCCAGGAUCGGAUCAGAAGCCGAUGGCGGCCGAGUGUGCAGUCCGGGCCAUGCUGUAUGCCCGGGCAGUUCGGAGCCUCAAGAAGAGGCUCCUCCCGGGUCGGCGGCGGGGGCUGCUUCGAGCUCAAGGACUCCGGGGCUGGAAGGUGAGGAGAGCAACCACCGGGACCCAGACCCUCCUCUCCUCAGGCACCAGGUUGAAACACCAUGGCCGGCAGGCUCCAGGCUUCUUGCAGGGAAAGCUGCCUCAGCCAGAUGGAAAUGAUGCUGCCAAGGAUUGUCCACCAGAUCCUGCCAGACCCUCUCCUCGGGACCCCAGCCCAGAAGCCUCAGAUCCAUCCCUGAAGCCAGUAGGCGUGGAUGUCUCUGAAGCCCCUCAGACUUCCUCUCCCUGCCCGUCUACUGACAUUGAUGUGAAAACAAUGGAGACUGCAGAGAAACUUGCUAAAUUUGUUGCUCAGGUGGGACCAGAGAUUGAACAAUUCAGCAUAGAAAACAGCACCGAUAACCCUGACCUGUGGUUUCUACAUGACCAAAAUAGUUCAGCUUUCAAAUUCUAUCGAAAGAAAGUAUUUGAACUGUGCCCAUCGAUUUGCUUUUCAUCAUCUCCGCUGACCCUCCAAGCCAACGAGAGCGCUGAUUCUCAGGAGAGCCCCCUAGAACCCAUGGAAGGGGAAGGAGAGUUUGAGGACGAACCCCCUCAGCAUGAGGCCGAGCUGGAGAGCCCAGUGAUGCCUGAGGAGGACGAGGACGAGGAGGACGAAGAGGAGGAGGAUGAGGAGGGGGGUGAGGAGGUCCCCACUCCUGGAGAGGCCUCCAGGCCGAUGGGCGGGUCUACCAAGUCCGAGUGCUCUGAGGGCAGCCCCCCUGCUGAUGGCCUCCUGAGUGAAGUGGCCGAGGAUGGCCCUGCUGGUGCGCCCGCCCUGUCACAGGCUUCCUCAGGGGCCUGCUUUCCCCGGAAGAGGGUCAGCAGCAAGUCAUUGAAGGUCGGCAUGAUUCCAGCUCCCAAGAGACUAUGUCUCAUCCAGGAGCCGAAAGUUCACGAACCAGUUCGAAUUGCCUAUGACAGGCCUCGGGGUCGUCCCGUGUCCAAGAAGAAGAAACCCAAGGACUUUGAUUUCACUCAGCAGAAGCUGACCGACAAGAACCUGGGGUUCCAGAUGCUACAGAAGAUGGGCUGGAAGGAGGGCCACGGCCUGGGCUCCUGUGGGAAGGGCAUCAGGGAGCCCGUCAGCGUGGGAACUGCCUCAGAAGGGGAGGGGUUGGGUGCCGACGGGCAGGAACACAAAGAAGACACGUUUGAUGUGUUCCGUCAGAGGAUGAUGCAGAUGUACAGACACAAACGGGCCAACAAAUAGGUAUGUGUGUGAGCUAGUGUGUGGGGCAGACUGCCUAAGCUGACGUUCUGGUUCGCAGAGAGGCUUCCUCCAGAAGAGUUGGUGUGCCCCAUUCCUCAAAAACCAAACAUCAAAAUAUCACCCCCCAAAAAAUUCAAAAAAUUCCAUGAGGGAAAAAAAAGGAGUGUUUGGAUGCAGAUGUAUCCCACCUCUCGCCUUCCAGGUUUGCCUGAAGGAGCGAGCCCCAUGCUCUCCAAGAGCAGCUGUGUGCAGCCCAUGGCGGGGCCUCAGCUCAGGGCUCCCAGGCUCGACUGCACGUGGCCAUCUUGUGGAAACAAGCUGCCACAGGAGUGGCCUUGUGUCCUGCAAGUAUGAAAACCAUUGGUGAAAAAAGAUAAGCUUGAAGCAGCAAUUACUCUUAUAACGCCACCUCUGUCCUGGAUCUGCCCUGGAACCAGUGCCCAAGUAGGUUUGGUGUGUACGUGGAAAACAAACUACAGUUUCUGGUGCAGAGGGUCCACCUGCUGGCUUUUCUUUUUCUUAAAAAAAGAGAAUGCACCAUUUUCAGUCUGCUUUGGCCUUUUCCCCCUCUUCCAAAUGCUUCUGGCAGCAGGUCCUCUCCAAGUCUUCCCUGGUUCCCCUCAGAAGGUGGGGCUGCCCUUGAAAGCACCAGUGCCUUAUAAGUGCUCAGGAACUCCUGUCGGUUUUCCUGUCCCAGGACACGUUGCUCUCUAAAAGUGAUCUGUUAGCAAACUUGAUGCUGAAACAGACAAUCACAGAUCAUAUCUUCUCAAAUUUAAAUAGGGAACGUAAAUCAGUAAUAAUGAAGUCCAUGCUCUGGUCCCACAGCCUGUCAGUUGGAGUGCUAGAGCCCUUUGAACAAGUGGAGAUACUUGAUUCAAUGAACGUGUUAUUUAUGGAGUCUCAUCUCUUAAAUGCAUCCCAAGAGACUUAAUGAAAUUUCAGCAACGUAUUCAGCAGCUAUAUUCAGUGGGGAGUAAUCAUUACACUGAUGAAACUUUCCCCAAAUUUACAUGUCUCUUUAGAAUCCUCAAAGGAAACUCGUUUUUCUUUUUUUUCCCUAAACCACAUAUGGAGUCUCCUACAAAGGGGUGGGAGGUGUAAACUCUUCAAGACACUUCAUUUUUUGCAUAUGUGGCAGUGUAAAGAGUUGUUUUAUUAGGGCCUUUGUACAGAGCAGAAAGGAUCCUCUUGGGGUGGGCUCUGCAGCUGUUUGCUAUUUGAAGGCAUACGAUGGCCGCCCCUUCCAGCUUCCCGCACUCUGCUUCUUGCAGCUACAUGCGAAAUUCUCAGGCUGUGGGAAUCUCUCAACCCUUCCUCAUAAAACAGCAGUGUUGAAGUUUUAAAUAUGUGCCAAAAUCUGGAAAACUUGGGAUCCUGCUGAUACUGCAAGCUUGGGGAACACAGCAGUGAGUUAUCCUGUUGGCCACUUCUAUUGGCUGUUAAGAAAUCCUUGCUUUCUCAAAGCCGCAGAUCUCCUGGGCUGAAGUCCCAGGCUCCUCUGGUUCUGUCUUGUCUGUCUGGCCUGCGCUCAUCGGCACAGUGUCACAGGCCUGUCAGCAUCUCAUGUGCCCACCUGAUGCUGCCUUUCUUCAUGUCAGGUGUAGUCCCUAGGGUUCUGCUUGUUUCUGGUCACUUUUGUUGCUUUGGCAACUGGCAGAUCUUAAUGGCCAACAACACGCUGGAGGUGCCUUAGCAGAAUUGAAACAGCCGGCAGGCAUGGUGUGGUUUUGAGAUUCAUUUUUUCCUCUCUGCUAAUCCUUCCUGUAGCCUUCCCUGUUGGCUGUGGGUUAGUGGUAGAACCUUCAGAACAGGGCCUUGGUCCCCUGUGGCCUUUCACAGAGCACCUGUUGGCCCUAAGUGAUGCAUGCACCCUGCCCAGCAUGGGUUCUGGCCCUUUCAAGCAUAGCUCUGACUAUCAUAUUCACUUUGUCUUAGUGGGCUUAUUCUUGGCUUUCUCUGCUUUUAUUUACAAGUAAAAUACUUUAGGAAUUCCCAGGGUUUGAGCCCUGUUCCCACAGCCUCCAGCCACUCCUCCUCCUGGGGAUGUCUUGCUUUGAGCUGACACUGUGAGCCUUUGGCAGAUGUCAAAGGGAAUACAUACUUCUUGAGCCUGGAAAGUCCUGUGAGCACUCAGGUGAUGCUUCUAUGGAGUUGACUUUGAGGCAGUGCAGGCACUGCGGGAGCUGGGGUGGAGCGUGGUGGUGCAUCCUCAGGGAGACCAGUGUGCUGGCUCUCCGCACCUGCCCUCGCUCUCUCCAGCAGAGGCCGCUCUGCAGGGAGCGGGCGUGCAAGCGAGCGCGAUGUGCAGUUGCAUAGCCUUGUCAAAGUCACAGUGUCUUUUCUGUCAUUCUAGUUCCAGGGUCUCUUCCGUGAGGACGACAGGCAUCCGGAAAGUGUUAACUCGCCACUUUGGGUGCUUACUGUCUCUGCCUUGUUUCCAUCACUGGAAAUCAUAUAUAGAGAAUUUUAGCAUUUUUGGUCCUUGGUAAAACCUAGAAGAUGUUUGUGAUGUUACAAAGUGGAAGUUUUUUUCUUUCUUUUUUUUAAUCUGAGAAGUUGUGAAUGUUGUUAAUCAUUUAGCAGUUGAAAUAAAUGUAGAGGAAACCCAA